rnacentral:lncRNA from 1 species
UACUUGUGCAAAAUUGAUGCAUUAGCAAACCAUAUGAAGUUCAUAGUUGUUUUGCCUUAUUUAGAGUCUGUUUGAUUGGGUUUUUGCUAUUUGCUUUUUGCUUCCGAAAGUAAAAAAGCAAAAAUUGCAUUUCCAUAAGCAAUAAAAUUGUGAAGAGUUAUACACAAAAUAUGUAAAUUUUUUAUGAUUAACAACAUGAUUCUACUUCUAUGUAUACUAAUUGUGUUAUAAUUGAUAUUAUAUUUUAAUUAUUUUUUCUGUUUACAUCAGUUAUGAUAUAUAUAUUUUUUACCUUUUGGUUUUCCUUUCUAGUAAAAUAUAUACGUUUUAUUCAUGUUCAUAGGGAACUUACCAGACUUCUUGACCGUGUUCUAGAAAUGCCAGUAUGUAUCGAGUUUGCUUUGAAUAUGGCAGCUAACAACAUCAGUGAAUCUUAGGUCUGUUGAUGCAAAUGAUGGCUAAUAGAUUCACUUGAAGCCUACUUAUCUAAAGAUUUUCAGAUUUUUGAAGGAUGAAAUACAGAGGUGGUGCUGACGUUAAUAAUAUUGGACAUUGAACACUGUCAAACAACAUAGAGGUGGAAAUAUACCGACUUUUUAAGGUUUCAGCGUUGGUUUUAUUUUUUGACUUCGUUCUACUUUUUUUUUUUUUUUUUUGGAAAGAUAUAUACCAACAUCUUAUGUAAAUAUGCAACUUGAUGUAGAUAAUUUGUAAUUUUGGGGAAGAGAGAGAAGGAAUGAAAUUGAGAAGAUAGCGAUUUUUCUUUGAAAUUUUGCCAUAAUGUAAAGGUGUUCUAGUCAGAUUUUCUUGAUGUUAUGAUGCUUAAGAAAUCCAGAUGCUACUGAUAUCUUGCCCCAAAAUAGUUCAUUCUUCAACUCAAUCUAUUUCAUCUGGUUUCUUUAUGGGAAUAAAAGCAUUUUCCUUAUUGGUUGCAAAAUUUUCAUUCAUUUUACCUUCAAAUUUGUCAAACAAUUAAAUUAUUAAUUGACUUGGUUAGUAUUUGUUGAACCAUAUAACUUGGAAAAAGCAAUCAGUUACUGGAGUUUUUAGAUUAUACAAGUCAGAGGGCUGUCACAAACCCUUUUACAAAAAUAUUAAAAAAUUAUAUUAAAAAAUAUUAAGAUAUGUGAUAAUUUUUUAAUAUUGUUUAUAAAAUUUAAAAGUUCUAUUAAACAUAUGUGAAGAAAUCAAAAUAUAUAAAAAUUAUUUCAUAUAUAUGAAAUUUGCAAAAGAAGAAUAUUGUCUUUUUUUUUUAUUAUGUGAGGUUGUUAGGAUUUAGACUUAAAAUAUUGAAACUAAGAGUUCUGUAUUUUACUAACAAAUUACAUGAUUAUUGACUUAUUGAAUUUUUAAAUCAAAGGAUCUCUUUAAAAUAUAUUAGCAAUAAAAAACUAAAAAGAUGCAUAUACAAUGAAAUCUAAUAGUACACUAAGAACAAAAGCACGCGAAACAAGUUGCUUAAUCAACAAAUUGAUUGGCCAAAAAAAUCAACGAAUUAAAAACUUGUUUCUUAUUUUUGUUCAAUAGUUUGAAAAAAAAAUCUAAAGAACACAUUCAUUCCCACUUCUCAAACUUGUCUAUUUUGGAAAUUGUGAUUUUGUAAUGGUGGAAUAAGAAAGAAAAAGAUAGAUCCUAUGAAUGCAUGGGUCUAAAUCAUAGUCCUUGCUUCAUACUUAGUCUUGGCAUUGCUUCCAUUUUUACUUCAAAAAAAAAAAAUGAUGUUAGCAAUUGCUUCAAUCUAAAUCAUUGAAAAGGCUAAAAUAUAACAAUAUUAAUUAAUAUACUUACUAUUCUUAGUCUGCCAAUUUAAUUGGAAGACAAAAGACAACCAUUACUGAGAAAAUUGUUAUUUUUGUCUUUUUUUAAAAGAUAGACUUACUUAAACAAACUGCUAAAAAAAAUUAUUUUUCACAGAGUAAUGAUGGGGCAAGAAGACUUAGACAUUUGCAUGAUGGGAAGACUUAAAAGUAUAAAGUAAAGACAAGACUAAAUACCAAUAAAAAAAAUCUCAUACUAUCAUUUUCUUUGUUAAUCCAAAAUUAGAAUAUCAAUUUUUUUGUAAAGUAUAAUUUUGUGAUGGGUAAUUCUAAACCAUCAUUUUUUCUCUACAUCCACCUUGUUCAAAAAUUUUUUAAGUGAAAUUACUUAUUCACUCAUUUUGUGUUAAUUUUAAAACUUUUAAAUAUGCAUUUUUGAUAAGUUAUAUAACUUACAAAUUUUUCAUAUCCGGUAAAUUAGAAAAAGUUACAUUCAAGUUUGAAAAAAAAUAGUUAAGAGAAAAUAUCUUAUAAAAAGUAUGAGAUUUUAAUUCUGUUUAUAAAAUUUUAAAUUUCUAUUAAUCAUAUGUGAUGAAAUUAAAUACAUAUAAAUUAUUUUGUAUACAUGAAAUUUUUUCGUUUGAAGAUUGUCUUUUUUUAAAAAUUUUUUUAGCAAGAUCGUCAAGAUUUGAAUUUUAAACUACUAAAACUAAGAAUUUAGCAUUUUACUAAUAGACUAUAUGGUUAUUAACUUAUUGAAUUUUUAAAUUAAAGGAUAUCUUUAAAAUGUAUUAACAAUAAAAAACCAAAAAAAUGCACAUACCAUAAAAUCUAAUAGUACAUUAGGAUCAAAAACAUGAGAAAGAAGUUGCUUAAUCAACAAAUUAAUUGGCAAAAAAAAAAUCAACAAAUUUAAAAUCUGUGUUUUAUUUUUGUUGAAAGGUUUGAAAAGAAAAUCUACAUAAUAUAUUCGUUCUCACUUCUCAAACUUGUCUAUUUUGAAAAUUAUGAUUUUAUAAUGGUGGAAUAAGAAAGAAAAUGAUAGAUAUUAUGGGAAUGUAUUGGUCCAAGUGUUAGUCUUUGCUCUAUACUUAGUUUUGGCAUCAAGCAUACAAAUGUGUCAAUAUUUUUGCCCCCAUCUUUACUUCACAAAAAUAAUCCUAGCAGUUGCUUCAGUCUAAGUCAUUAAAAAGACUAAAAUAUAAACAAUAAUAAUUAAUAUACUUAAAAUCCAUCCCUUGUGUGUCAAUUUAACUAGAAGCCAAAAGACAACUUUCAUUGAGAAAAUUGUUGUUUUUUGCUUUUUUGUCUUUUUUAAAAGUAGACUUGACUUAAGCAAAUUGCUAAGAAAAUUAUUUUCACAAAGUAAUGAUGGGGCAAGAAGACUUAGACAUUUGCAUGAUGGGAAGACUUAAAAGUAUAAAACAAAGAAAAAAUUAAAUACCAAUAAAAAGAUCUCAUACUAUCAUUUUUUUUUGUGAGUCCAAAAUUAAAAUAUUAAUUUUUUUUAUAAAGUAUUAUUUUGUGAUGGGUGAUUCUAAAUAUACCAUAAUUUUUCCCUAUAUCAAUUUUUUUUUAAUUUUUAAGUGAAAUUACUUAUUUACCCAUUUCAUUUUAAUUUUAAAGCAUCUAGAUAUAACUUAUUAGAUUUUCAUAUCCGGGAAGUUAAAAAAAAGUUACAUUUAGGUUUGGAAAAAAAAUAAUUAAGAGAAAAUAUCUUCCAUAAAGUAUGAGAUUCUAAUACCAUUUAUAAAAUUUAAAAUCUCUAUUAAUCAUAUAUGAUGAAAUUGAAAUAUAUAUAUAUAUAUAUAAAUUAUCUCGUAUACAUGAAAUUUGUGAAAAUAGAAAAUUGUCCUUUUAUUUGUAUGUGAGGUUAUUAGGAUUUGAACUUUAAACUAUUGAAAUUAAGAGUUCUACAUUUUACUAACAAACUACAUGGUUAUUUGCUCAUUUAAUUUUAAAUCAAAGAACCUCUUUAAAUUAUAUUAAUAAUAAAAAACUAAAAAAUAAAAAAAUGCACAUACCAUGAAAUCUAGUAGUACAUUAGGAACAAAAGCAUGAGAAAGAAGUUGCUUAAUUAACAAAUUGAUUAGAAAAAAAAAUCAACAAAUUAAAAACCUAUCUUUUAUUUUUGCUAAAAAGUUUGAAAAAAAAUCUAAAGAAUACAUUCACUCCCAUUUCUCAAACUUGUCUAUUUUGGAAAUUGAAAUUUUAUAAUGGUGGAAUGAGAAAGAAAAAGAUAGAUCCCAUCAGAAUGCAUGGGUUUAAAUCAUAGUCUUGGCAUCAAUCAUGCAAAUGUGUCAAUGUUUUCACCCCCAUUUUUACUUCAAAAAAGUAAUGAUGUUAGCAAUCGCUUCGGUCUAAGUUAUUGAAAAGACUAAAAUAUAACAAUAUUAAUUAAUAUAAUUAAAAUCCAUUCCCGAUCUUCCAAUUUAAUUGGAAGACAAAAGACACCCAUCAUUGAGAAAAUUGCCUUUUUUUUUUGUUUUUUUAAAAGAUAGACUUGACUUAAGCAAACUGCUAAGAAGAUUAUUUUUCACAAAGUAAUGAUGGGGCAAGAAGACUUAGACAUUUGCAUGAUGGGAAGACUUAAAAAUAUAAAGUAAAGAAAAGACUAAAUACCAAUAUAAAAAAUCUCAUACUAUCAUUUUCUUUGUUAGUCCAAAAUUAGAAUAUCAAUUUUGUUUGUAAAGUAUAAUUUUGUGGUGGGUGAUUCUAAAUAUACCAUCAUUUUUUCUCUACAUCCACCUUUUUUAAAAAAUUUUUAAGUGAAAUUACUUAUUUACUCAUCUUGUUUUAAUUUUAAAACUUCUAAAUAUGCAUUUCUGAUUAGUUAUGUAACUUAUAGAAUUUUCAUAUCUAGUAAGUUAGAAAAACUUACAUUUAGGUUUGAGAAAAAAUAGUUAAGAGAAAAUAUCUUAUAAAAAGUAUGAGAUUUUAAUACUAUUUAUAAAAUUUAAAAACUCUAUUAAUCAUAUGUGAAGAAAUUAAAAUAUAUACAUAAAUUAUCUUGUAUACAUUAAAUUUUUUUCAUUUGAAGAUUGUCUUUCUUUUUUAAUUUUUUUUAUAGUGAGAUUGUCAGGAUUUGAAUUUUAAACUAUUGAAACUAAGAGUUUAGCAUUUUACUAAUAAACUAUAUGGUUAUUAGCUUAUUGAAUUUUUAAAUCAGAGGAUCUCUUUAAAAUAUAUUAAUAAUAAAAAACUAAAAAAAUGCACAUACCAUGAAAUUUAAUAGCACAUUAGGAACAAAAGCAUGAUAAAGAAGUUGCUUAAUCAAUAAAUUGAUUGGUAAAAAAAAAUCAACAAAUUAAAAACCUUUGUUUUAUUUUUUCUGAAAGGUUUGAAAAAAAAUCUACAAAAUAUAUUCAUUCUCACUUUUCAAACUUGUCUAUUUUGAAAAUUGUGAUUUUAUAAUGGUGGAAUAAGAAAGAAAAUGAUAGAUACUAUGGGAAUGUAUUGGUCCAAGUGUUAGUCUUUGCUCUACACUUAGUUUUGGCAUCAAGCAUGCAAAUGUGUCAAUCUUUUUGCCCCCAUCUUUACUUCACAAAAAUAAUCUUAGUAGUUGCUUCAGUCUAAGUCAUUAAAAAGACUAAAAUAUAACAAUAAUAAUUAAUAUACUUAAAAUCCAUUCCUUGUGUGCCAAUUUAACUAGAAGACAAAAGAUAACUUUCAUUGAGAAAAUUAUUUUUUUUUUGUCUUUUUUAAAAGGCAGACUUGACUUAAGCAAAUUGAUAAGAACAUUAUUUUCACAUAGUAAUGAUGCGGCAAGAAGACUUAGACAUUUGCAUGAUGGGAAGAUUUAAAAGUAUAAAACAAAGAAAAGCUUAAAUACCAAUAAAAAGAUCUCAUACUAUCAUUUUCUUUGUGAGUCCAAAAUUAAAAUGUCAAUUUUUUUUAUAAAGUAUAAUUUGGUGAUGGGUGAUUCUAAAUAUAUCAUCAUUUUUUUCUCUAUAUCAUUUUUUUUUAAUUUUUAAGUAAAAUUACUUAUUUACCUAUCUCAUUUUAAUUUUAAAGCAUCUAGAUAAAAUUUAUUGGAUUUUCAUAUAUGGUAAGUUAAAAGUUACAUUUAGGUUUGCAAAAAAAAUAGUUAAGAGAAAAUAUCCUGCAUAAAAUAUGAGAUUCUAAUACCAUUUAUAAAAUUUAAAAUCUUUAUUAAUCAUACAUGAUGAAAUCCAUAUAUAUAUAUAAAUUAUCUCGUAUACAUGAAAUUUUUGAAAUUAGAAAAUUAUCCUUUUUUUUUGUAUGUGAGGUUAUUAGGAUUUAAAUUUUAAACUAUUGAAAUUAAGAGCUCAACAUUUUACUAACAAACUACAUGGUUAUUUGUUCAUUUAAUUUUAAAUCAGAGAAUCUUUUUAAAAUAUAUUAACAAUUAAAAACUAAAAAAUAAAAAAAAUGCACAUACCAUGAGAUCUAAUAGUACAUUAGGAACAAAAGCAUGAGAAAGAAGUUGCUUAAUCAACAAAUUGAUUGGCAAAAAAAAAAAAAUUUAAAACUUGUCUUUUAUUUUUGUUGAAAAGUUUGAAAAAAAAAAUCUAAAGAAACAUUCAUUCCCACUUGUCAAACUUGUCUAUUUUGAAAAUUGUGAUUUUAUAAUGAUGGAAUAAGAAAGAAAAUGAUAGAUACUAUGGGAAUGCAUUGGUCUAAAUCAUAGUCUUUCCUUUAUACUUAGCCUCGGCAUCAAACACGCAAAUGUGUUAGUCUUUUUGCCCCCAUCUUUACUUCACAAAAAUAAUAAUUUUAACAAUUGCUUCGGUCUAAAUCAUUAAAAAGACUAAAGUAUAACAAUAAUAAUUAAUAUACUAAUAAUAAUUAAUAUACUUAAAAUCCUUUCCUAGUCUCCUAAUUUAAUUAAAAAACAAAAGACAACCACCAUUAAAAAAAUUGUUAUGUUUUUUUUAUCUUUUUUAAGAGACAAACUUGAUUUAAGUAAAUUGCUAAGAAGAUUAUUCUUUACAGAGUAAUGAUGGGGCAAAAAGACUUAGACAUUUGCAUGAUGGGAAGGCCUAAAAGUAUAAAGUAAAGAAAAGACUAAAUACCAAUAAAAAAAUCUCAUACUAUCAUUUUUUUGUGAGUCCAAAAUUAGAAUAUCAAUUUUUUUAUGAAGUAUAAUUUUGUGAUGGAUGAUUCUAAAUACACCAUCAUAUUUUUCUUUAUGUCCACUCUUUUUGUUUUUUUUAAACUUUUAAGUGAAAUUACUUAUCUACUCAUCUCAUUUUAAUUUUAAAGCUUCUAGAUAUGUCUUUCUUAAGUUAUAUAACUUAAUGGAUUUUCAUAUCCGAUAAAUUGAAAAAUGUUACAUUUAGGUUUGAAAAAAAUAGUUAAAAAAAUCUUAUAGAAAGUACGGGAUUUAAUAAUGUUUAUAAAAUUUAAAAACUCUAUAUAAAUUAUCUUGUAUACAAGAAAUUUUUUAAAUUAGAAGAUUUUUUUUAAUAUGAGGUUGCUAGGGUUUAAACUUUAAACUAUUAAAACUAAGAGUUAAGCAUUUAUUAACAGAUUAUAUGGUUAUUGGCUCAUUGAAUUUUUAAAUAAGAGGAUCUCUUUAAAAUAUAUUAACAAUAACAACUAAAAAAAAAUGCGCAUACUCUGAAAUCAAAUAAUACAUUAGGAACAAAAGCAUGAAAAAAAGUUGCUUAAUCAACAAAUUAAUUGGCCAAAAAAAUCAACAAAUUAAAAACUCAUGUUUUAUUGUUGCUAAAAAGUUUGAAAAAAAAGUCUACAGAACAUAUUCAUUCUCACUUAUCAAACUUGUCUAUUUUGAAAAUUGUAAUUUUUUAAUAGUGGAAUAAGAAACAAAAUGAUAGAUACUAUAGGAAUGUAUUGGUUUAAGUCUUAGACUCUGCUUUAUACUUAGUUUUGGCAACAAGCAUGCAAAUGUGUUAGUUUUUUUAUGCCCAUCUUUACUUUACAAAAAUAAUAAUCUUAGCAAUUGCUCCAAUCUAAGUCAUUAAAAAGACUAAAAUAUAACAAUAAUAAUUAAUAUACUUAAAAUCCAUUUUUAGUUUGUCAAUUUAACUGGAAGACAAAAGACAAUCUUCAUUGAGAAAAUUGCUAUGUUUUUUUUAUCUUUUUUAAAAGACAAACUUGUCUUAAGCAAAUUAUUAAGAAUAUUAUUUUUCACAGAGUAAUAAUGGGAAAGAAAACUUAAUAUUUGCAUGAUGGGAAGACUUAAAAGUAUAAAGCAAAGAAAAGACUAAACACCAAUAAAAAAUCUCAUACUAUCAUUUUCUUUGUGAUUCCAAAAUUAGAAUAUCAAUUUUUUUAUAAAGUAUAAUUUUGUGAUGGGUGAUUCUAAAUACACCAUCAUUUUUUUUCUCUACAUUUACUUUUUUUUUUAAUUUUCUAAGUGAUAUUACUUAUUUACCCAUCUUGUUUUAAUUUUAAAAUCUUUUGAAUAUACAUUUUUGAUAAGUUAUAUAACUUACCGGAUUUUCAUUUCUGAUAAGUUAAAAAAGAUAAAUUUGGUUUGGAAAAAAAUAGUUAAAAGAAAAUAUGUUACAAAAGUAUGAGAUGCUAAUAUCAUUUAUAAAAUUUAAAAACUCUAUUAAUUGUAUGUGAAGAAAUUGAAAUAUAAAAAAUUAUCUUGUAUGCAUGAAAUUUGUGAAACUAGAACAUUGUUUUUUUUUUUUUAAUGUGAGAUUGUCAAAAUUUGAACUUUAAACUAUUGAAACUAAAAGUUUAGUAUUUUACUAAUAGACUACAUGGUUAUUGGAUCAUUGAAAUUUUAAACUAGAGGAUCUCUUUAAAUAUAUUAAUCAUAAAAAAUUGAAGCAAUAAAAAAUGCACAUACCAUGAAAUCUAAUAGUACAUUAGGAACAAAAUAAUGAGAAAAAAUUGUUUAAUCAACAAAUUGAUUGGCCAAAAAAAUCAACAAAUUAAAAAUCUGUGUUUUAUUUUUUCUGAAAAGUUUGAAAAAAAAAAUCUAAAGAACACAUUCUUUCUCUCACUUCUUAAACUUGUUUAUUUUGGAAAUUGUGAUUUUAUAAUGGUGGAAUAAGAAAGAAAAUGAUAGAAACUAUGGUAAUGUAUUGGUUGAAGUCUUAAUCUUUGCUUUAUACUUAGUCUUGGCAUUAAGCAUGCAAAUGUGUUAGUCUUUUUGCCUCAUAUUUACUUCACAAAAAUAAUAAUAUUGGCAAUUGCUUUAGUCUAAGUUAUUAAAAAGACCAAAAUAUAAAAAUAACAAUUAAUAUAUUUAAAAUCCAGUCUUAUGUCAAUUUAACUAAAAGACAAAAGACAAUUUCAAUUGAGAAAAUUGUUGUUUGUUUUGUCUUUUUUAAAUGACAAACUUGACUUAAACAAAUUGCUAAGAAGAUUAUUUUUCAUAGAGUAAUGUUGGGGUAAGAAGACUUAAACAUUUGCAUGAUGAGAAGACUUAAAAGUAUAAAGCAAAUAGAAAAUUAAAAACCAAUAAAAAAAUCUCACACUAUCAUUUUUUUUUAGUCCAAAAUAAAAAAUCAAUUUUUUUUAUAAAGUAUAAUUUUAUGAUGGAUGAUUCUAGAUACACUAUCAUUUUUUUCUCUACAUCCGGAUAUGAAAAAUCGGUAAUUUAUAUAACUUAUUAGAAAUACAUAUCUAGAAGCUUUAACAUUAAAAAACGGAUCUCUAUAAAGUAUAAUUUCCAUUGAUUCAAGGACUUAGAAAAAAAAAAAUAAAGACAAUUUUCAAAUCCUAAAGUUUUUCUUUCAUCCUAUUAUUUUCAAAUAAUUGAAAAUUUAGUAUCUAUUGAAUCCUAUGAUCAACGUCUUGACUCUUUCAUUGUACUUUCUCAAAUCUUAUGGAUAAGAUUCCACCAAGUGAAUAAUUGCUAAUUAUUUAAGAUGAUUAAUUACUACAUUCUUGAGAUUCAACUGAAAAAUAUGAUUUAGAUUUCAUUUGGUUUGUAUUUUUUUUUCUUUUACUAUUUGUUUUUUGUUUUCAAUUCAUUUAUUAAAAAAUAAAAACCAAAAGCAUCAAUUAAUUGGAGGAUUAAAAAGUGAGAAAAUUAUGUAAUCUCAUUGGUUAAUUUCCUUUUUUUGAUUAAAAAAUUUAUUCAGUUUAAAACAAUAUAAAGUAUGAGUGUAUUUGAUAUUAUGGAUAAAAAUUUCUAAUGUUCUUUUUAUUUUUUUAAAUUUUGUUGGGAUUUUAGAUUUCAAUUUAUUAUGAGUGUAUUUUAUAUUAAAAUCUUAAAUUUAUUAUAUAAAAUUUAUAUUUUGAGGUUUCAAAUAUAAAAAUGUAAUCAAAAUCAAAAUGAUUUUGGAAUAUACUCGUAUAGAAAAGUAAUAGAAUUUUGUGUUGGAAAAGCAAAGAUGAUAAUUUUGAAAUAUCCAAAUAGAGAAUGAUAGAUAAAGAAAAUGAGAUAGUGAGAGUAUAAUUAAUUACUAAUUAGAAAAUGAAUUGAAAAAAAAAAAAAACAACUUAGAAGUGAUGAUUGAAGACAAUUGAAAAGAUCAAUAUAAUUACGUAAAGAUGGUAAUAUAUAGUCUAAUUAAACAUUGAAGUUGAACAAUUAUUAUUUAAUUUUGAAUAAUUUAAAUUAAAUUCCCUUUUGAACAAUUAAAAAAAGAGUUACUAUUAAUUUCUUAUGUAGCGCGACAAUGAGAUUGAAACAAAGAUGCACCAAAUGACGUUCUUCUUCUGACUCCACUAGUGCCAAGUGUGCUUAAGUUCAUUCUCCAUUUUUGUCAUCUGAAUGACUUUACCGGUAAGCAAUUCCAAAGGCUAUAAACUUUAAUUAGCAUAAAACAACACCAAUUCUAAGAUUACAUAUAAUAUUUUAUAGAAAAAAUUAUUAUAAUUUUUUUUAAAAAGCCAAAUUUAAGAAGAGAAAAGGUGUUAUAGGUGUAAGAAUUUGAACUCUAAACCUGUAAAAUACUAUCUUGUAAUCAUAAUUGUAUAAAUCAACUAGGGGCAUAUCUAGGCCCAAAAUUUUUUUUUCACCAUUGUAGCAUAAUACCUUAUCCCGCCAAAAAUAAUAUUUGAUCCCCUCUUUUCUAGUAAAAUUAUUAUUUAACCUCUCAUUUCUCAAGUUUUUGCUUCACUUCUGAAAUUAACUGAGAUAAAUCUCAAAUUAAAAAAAUUAUUUUAUUAUUAAUAUUCCUUUAUAGAAAUGUAUUUAUUUAUUUAAUUUGUUAUGAGGUAGAUAAUGGAAGGACGAAAGAAGCUUCUGAUAUUAGACAAAGCAACUUUAGACCAAUUCUAAAGAUUUUUUAAAGAAAAGGAAACAACUUUAGACAAAGCAAAGCAAGAAACAUAUAUAUGAGGCAAGAACAAGAAAAAUCCACGCGUGAUGAAUUGAAGACUAAUUCAUUAUUAGAAAAUCCCAUUAAUUUUUGUUCUAUGAAAAAGCAAUAAUUUUGUCCCUUUCAUAUUUCUAAUGUUCACAUUUGUAACUUUCAUUUAUUCAUUAAUAUUAAGGGUCAUUCCCAUUAAAAAUAAUAUUGGUUAAUAUUUUUAUUUGAAGUAUUGUAAAAUAUAAAAUAUGAAUCUAUAUGUUCUAAGUUCUUAUGAUUCAAACCAAUAUUCAUUUACAAUAUUAAAAACAAAAAUAAUAAAAAAGUGCUAUACAUAUGAUAAAUUCAAUAUUAAAUUAUUAAUAUGUUGUUUUGAAUUCUCAACGAUUAAUAAAAAGAUUUUGCAAACAAUAAUCUAGAAAUACAUUUCAAGACGAUUACAUAAAGUAAUAUCUUCACCUAAUACAUUAAAAAUAAUAGAUAUAAAACUAUUAACUAUAUCAACCAUUACAUUUAAGAUAAAAUUAUUACAAUAAAUAGUAUAUUAACUAAUUUUAAAGAGUGGAUAAUUAACUAUUCCAAUAAAUAAUGAAUUAACUAAUUUUAAAUAGUAUAAAUAGUAUAUAUAAAAUAAUAUAUCAAAUAUUCAAUUAUUUACUAUCUAUCACUAUCCCUAAACAGAAUAUCAAGAGAGAAGCAAUCAAUCAAAUCUAAUCGAAUGGAUUGGAAGGUGAAGCACGGUCUAAAGCUAAGCUCCUGUCUCAGAUCCCAUUAUUUCCUCUGACUUGACAUCAAUAUACAAGCGAAAUCUGAAUGCUUGGAAACUCAUUUUCAGCAAUUUCACUUUGUUGCCUAGAUGUUUCCUGCAUGCUGUCAUCUUUUGCCUUCGUUUCAUUUCAUUCAUACUUUUGCUUUAGAUUUUCAGGUUAGGUAGGCAAUAUUUUUACAACAUGUGAUGCCAUAUUACAACAAGUUUUGCAAAAAAAAAAGCACCAAAUGGUAUCCAUAUGACUAAAUGAUAUCCUUUUUUCUUAAUUAUUAAUCGAAUGGUGCUAGGAUAAACUUUAUCAUGACCAAAGAAUAACGCAUACUAUUAUAAAGAAAGAAUUGUUAAAGUAAUUAUUUUUUUCUCUGAAUGCAUAUUUAGAAAAAAAAAAAAAAAGAAAUAGAUACUUUUGAGGAAGUUGAUCAAGGAAACAAAAGGAGAUUCAAACGUUGAAUUGAAGAAGAAGAAGAAGAAGAAACAAACUUAUUAAUUAGGAUUUUCAAAAAAAAAAAAAAGAAGUGUUCCAUCUAAUUUCAUAAUAACAAAGUUGAGUUGACUCAUUAAUCUUUGCAAGUUUUACUUCUCUUUAGAUGUUAAACUUAGUGAAAAUUUUUAUUAUUUUUUAGUAGUGAAGAAAUACUUUACUACCGAUCUACUUGUAAUACUAUUACUUGAGAAAAUUAUUUUUAUUUAAUUUGUUUUUUUGCAUGAAUGCAUAAUAUGAAAUAAACAGUGGGAAGAAAGGGGAAAAUAUAGCGACAAAGAUUAAUUUACAAAAGCAAAACUAUCAACCUUAUCAUCAUUCAAACCUAUUAUUCAUUCUUUAAAAUUCAAAAUGAACAAGCAAUAAAUAUUUCUGUCUGUCUUCCACCUAUUUUGACUUAACUUCUACAGAAAAAGCUCAAACUCAUGAUUUGUACAAACACGUGGUUGGAAAAACGCAUUUGAACCUAUCUCUUGAUAUCUAGGAGAUAUAUAAGCUACAAUUAAACAGUAUGUUAAUGUGGAAGGACUUGUCUAGUUAUGAUAACCAUGCAUGGAAAUUUCAAACUCCACAUCUUCCCUUCAUUUUUUUAUAGAGAGCCAACAAAACAUGAAGAAUCCUCAUAUCCUAAUUUCACUCAUUUUUCCUACCUUGUUUUUCUUCUCAUGCUUUGUAUCUCUUGUGCUAUCUUUUUCCCCUUCUUAUACUGAUCUCCAAAACCAGUGCCUUGAUGACCAGAGAUCUACUCUGUUGCAAUUGCAUCGUGAUCUUUACUAUGCUCCAAAUUUUACUUUCUCUACCGAAGUUGAGCUUUGGGAUCUCAACACUAAUUGUUGCUCUUGGAAAGGAAUUACAUGCGAUGCUCUUGGUCAUGUGAUUGGGAUUGAUCUCAGUUACAAAAAUCUUUCAGGCAGCUUUCACUCCAUUUUCAAUCUCCAUCAUCUUCAACGCCUUAAUCUUGCUGGAAACAAUUUUAAUUCCACUCUGUUUCAAUAUGAGUUUGACAAACUCCCAUAUUUAACUCAUCUCAACCUUUCAAACUCAUGUUUCCAUGGCCAAAUUCCUGUGGGGAUUUCAUACUUAACAAGGUUAGUCUCUCUUGAUCUAUCUAAUCAAGAUUCUUGCUAUCUACAAAAUUACCAAAUUCUUGAUCCAAAUUUCUGGUAUGAUGAUUUUCCUUACAACCGUCAUCAACCUUUAAAACUAGAAAACCCAAACUUCAAGUCAUUCAUCCUAAAUUUGAGACCUCUUACAGAGCUCUACUUGGAUAGUGUGAACAUUUCAACUCAAAGUACUAAAUGGUGUGAAGCCACAUCCAUAGCACUUCAUAACCUACAUGUGCUAAGUCUGUCGAAUUGUGGUUUGACAGGUCCAUUUUGUUCUUCACUCUCAAGACUUCCUUUUCUUUCCAAACUUUUCCUUGGUGGGAAUUCGAUCUCUUAUUUGCCUCCUAAUUUCUUGGAAAUUUCCUCUCGUUUGGUUUCUCUCAGUUUAGUGAAUUGCAAUUUGAGUGGGCAUUUUCCAAUAGAAGUUUUCUUAUUACCAAAAAUCCAAAGCAUUGACAUUUCAGAAAAUGACAAUCUUGGAGGUCAGUUGCCAGAAUUUCCAUUAAACAAUGCUUUACGGAUCUUAACGAUGUCUUAUACAAAUUUCAGUGGAAAAUUACCAGAAUCAAUUGGUAAUCUCAAGUUCUUGUCAAAUUUAAAUCUUAAUGGUUGCAAUUUCUGUGGACAAAUUCCAUCUUCAAUUGCAAAUCUUACUAAUCUUGUGGAACUGGAUCUGUUCAAUAACAAUUUCAGUGGUUCUAUCCCUGCAUUUCACAGAUCUGGAGUUCCAAAUCUUGCAUAUCUUAAUUUGGGGGGAAACUACCUCUCUGGAUCAAUAUAUUCUUCUUUAUUUACUCUCCCAUCUUUGCAGACCUUGCAUCUUAGUGGAAAUCAAUUGUUUGGUGAAAUUGAUGAGUUUCUUAAUGCAUCUUCUUCUUUGAUUGAAGCACUGGAUUUAGGCUACAAUAGCUUUAGUUCCGUGAAGCUUGACAUGUUCUCCAAACUCAAAAACUUAAGGUUUCUUGGCCUUUCCAAUACGAGCUUGUCAAUCGAAAGCAACAUCACAAGCCUUGCUUUUCCCCGAUUAGAGUGGCUAGACCUAAAUUCAUGUAACCUUACUGAAUUUCCAGAAUUCAUCAAAACUCAAGACAAGUUGGUUUUUCUAGGUCUUUCUAACAACCAAAUCCAUGGUUUUGUGCCUAAUUGGUUAUGGAAGACCACUCUUUUCUGGUUAGACCUUUCUUUCAAUGCGAUUGAUUUUUCAAAAGAGUUUCCUUUUGGUGACGCAAACUCCUCUUUUCCAAUGUUGAGAUUCUUGUUUUUACAAUUCUGUAACCUAAGUAUGUUUCCAGAGUUUUUAAGUCAAACUAGUUUAGAAUAUCUUGUCCUUUCAAAUAACAAAAUAAGUGGUGCAGUGCCAAACUGGGUGUGGAAGAAAAGUUUGCGGUAUCUGGAUCUUUCUAACAAUUCUCUCUCAUCUUUGGACCAAUUUUCUCUGAACCAAUCUCUAACUUCUUCACAAGGCUCUUUAUCAAGACCUAUUUGCAAUUUGAGUCAACUUGUGACCUUUAAUGCAUCCUUUAACAAAUUAAGCGGGCCAAUCCCAAGUUGCUUGGGCAAUAUCCGUUUUCUCGACACUUUGGAUCUACAAAAAAAUAAUUUCAAUGGCAGCAUACCAGAUUUUGCAAAAGCGACGCAAUUAUAUUGGCUUCAACUCAAUGAUAAUAAAUUGGAAGGGAAGUUGCCAAGGUCAUUAGCCAAUUGCACAAUGCUCCAAGUUUUAAACCUUGGAAACAAUACUCUGCAUGACACAUUCCCUUUGUGGUUGGGAAAAUUGCCUGCGUUGAUGAUCCUUGUAUUGCGAGCAAAUAGGCUUUAUGGUCCAAUUAAACAUGUGAAAAAUUGUUUUCAAGACUUAGAUGCACUAGAUAUUGCUUUCAAUAAUUUUUCUGGUCAAUUGCCAAUUGAAUUCUUUCAAGCUCCUCAACUAAGGUCACUCAAAAUUGGUGGGAAUAAACUGGAAGGAAAGUUGCCAAGGUCAUUAGCCUAUUGCAAAAAGCUUGAAGUUUUGGACGUUGGAAAAAAUAUGAUACAAGACACAUUUCCUUUUUGGUUGGAGAAAUUGCCUUCUUUAAAGGUUCUUGUAUUAAGAGCAAAUAGAUUCUAUGGUCCAGCUAAAACUUCUGAGGAUGAAAAUGCUUUUCCAGAGUUACACAUAUUGGACCUUGCUUCCAAUAACUUUUCAGGUGAGUUAUCUAUUGGAUUUUUUCGAUCUUUGAAGGCAAUGAAGACGAUGACUGAUGGCAAGAAAGCUAAGCCAGAUUACAUUGGAGACAAGUACUACCAGGACUCCCUGACAAUUGUGAAUAAAGGGUUUGAAAUUUUUUACAAGAAAAUCUUAACCAUCUUUGUUUGUCUCGACCUUUCCAAUAAUAGUUUCCAUGGGAGAAUACCGGAGGAAAUACAAAACCUCAAGUCACUCAAAGCGCUAAACUUCUCCUACAACAGCUUCCUUGGCCCAAUCCCUUCAGCACUUGGAAACUUAACUGAGCUUGAGUCGUUGGACCUCUCCCAGAACAACCUCUCAGGAAAGAUUCCUCCACAGCUUGCAAGCCUAACUUUUCUUGAAGUAUUGAAUCUCUCUUACAACCAACUUGAGGGAAGCAUACCACAAAGCUACCAAUUUGGUACAUUUCCAAACGAUUCUUACAAAGGGAACCCAAGAUUGUGUGGACCGCCUUUGACAAAGAAAUGCAAUGAAGUUGGUCUUGGAAUGCAACCCCCUAAGGAAGAUGAAGAUUCAUUGGUAGAUGGUAUAUCUAUUUGGAAAAUCGUAUUGAUUGGGUAUGGAUGUGGUUUGGUGAUUGGGUUAUCUAUUGGAUAUACAGUGUUGAAUGAGAUGGGAAACAAAUGGAUGGAUAGGUUUACAUGGAAUCGGAAUAAAACAUGGAGAAGAUCUUCUAGGUGACUCCAUCAAAACUCAAGUUUCAAAUUCAUUUGGUAAGUAUUCUAGAAUAUUUAAUCACUCAAAAGUUUUUUUAUUAGUUCUUUCAACUGUAGUUAAUUGUCUAAACAAAUAAAAUUAUUUAAAUACUCUCGUGCAUUAUAAAUGUGAUAUAUAUAUAUAAUUGCUCUAAUUGAUAUUUGAUUAAAGUGAUUACUUUUGAAAUUUAAUUAAAGAAGGUUUCAACUUUGUACGACUUAUUUCCUUUUUAAACUUGGCAUUGCUUUUAAAACUGAAAACAAAAAUUGCCUGCAACCUAGGAUAUGUCCUUUGAAUUCCUAACCUCAUUUUAUAAAUGACAAUCAUGAGUUUCCAAGUUACUAAUUUGUAAAAGACAUGUGGGUGACUGGCAUUUUGAGUUAGAUUGGGCUGUCAAUCAUCUUAACAGCAAAGCAAAGCUUCGGCAUUUAUUUUCCUUAAUUAGAUUGGCUUGGGAUGCUCAUGUAUAUUGUAUUUGGCAGGAGCACAAUCUAAGGAAGUUUGGCAGGCCAUCUAAAGAUAUAGAAGCUAUUGUUUCAACUAUCAGAAGUUACUUUUCGCUUAGUUCAAUAACAAGAUUGCAGUCUUCAGUUGCACUCUUCCUCUUCAACAACAGAAAUUAUGUCUGAAUGUUUUUGGCUUGGUGUUACGGUACUUGUGUCUCAGUUCUUUCUCUUCUGCUCACCUAAGAUGAGUGGCAGCAUGUGUGGUUGUAUUGUGCUUGUCUUCUGUUCUGUCUAUAAGGUGGUGUUUUACUGCAGAGGUAUGGGGCUCCCCUGUUGUUCACCCCAUUGUGUAACUCUGUUUUUAUUAAUAAUUUCUGGCUUAGCAAAAGAAAAAUGUGUCUGAAUUGGGGAAUGGUUCCUUAAUGUUGCUUAGUUUGAUUACAUUGCAAAAGUUAGAUUUUUCUUGGACAUUUGUAACGUUUUGAUAGCUUACUGUUUACUUGUAGCAAGUCUAAUGCUUUGUUUGGGUUAAUAAAAAUCAUUCACCCAAAGAAAUUCUUAACGAAAAUCUUAUUAUCUUCUAAGCUCUUCAUUAUUGUUAUACCUAAGAGAUCAUAUUAGCAGCCACAUAGUAGGUCUUACACAUGAAAACCCAGUUUGCGACGUCAUCAUCUAAAAGGUAUAAAAAGUAGAACCAGACCAGACAGAUGAUUCACUACUGAACUCUCUCUACUCUCUUUAACUGCUUCUUACUCUCUCUCAUUUACUUGCUUGUGGUAUACCUUACUAACUUGAGCGUUGGGGAAUGCCUCAAAAUAACAUUUUUGGCACACUGACUUCCUACCAUGUGAUAGGUCACACAAACUCUCCUUCUCAACCUCCAGUAAAACUUUCGACUAUCAGACCAGGAAUUACAUCAACAAUAUCAAGUAUUCAACUCAACUAUUUGCCGUGCAGGUAUUUGAUAUAAGCCAUGGCAUGUACAACAAUGACUACGCCUACCACUUUAGCUGCCAAAACUAGAAAGUACAUCUCCUAACACAGAAAAAUCUUCACAGACCAAGCUCAAGCUAAGAUGCUUUAUUCCUUUAUUAACUGCUACAUCACUACAGAGAAAAAAACAACGAAAAGAAAAUAACAAAGCUUCCAGUUCCAGGUAUCAAGCUCGACAAUUCCGAACUAACUUUGAUAGUAUUUUAUUGUCCCUAACAACUAUAGAUUUGACCAUGGCGAGAAAGAUUGAUAUAUUUCCUUUAUUAUUUUAUUCAACUUUAAUCCCAUAUCAUCUUUUGUUUCUUUGCUUCAGCACUCCCACAGACAAAAACAAAUGGUUUGUUGUAAGCUUUAUUGCUAUAUGAUUGAUUUGCAUGUAGAAUAGACCUUGACUAAACAAAAACAUGAGGGCAAUACAUUCAGUAACUUAUAUAUACUCACUUCUCUAGAAUGCCAAUGAAUCCUUUCAGUAACUUAUUCUCUAUCUAAUAGAAAUAAAGCGUCAUAACUAAAUAGCCAAUAUUCACAUUGAUGUGCUAAGUGUUCUGAUAUAGCCACUAAUCCAUAAUUAAAAGAUGAAGUAAUAGACGACAUGCUAUCUUUCAAUCACUGGUCAUUUUAUAGGUAGUAUUUUCUCUAGUAGCCACCUUGAUGCUGUAAACCAGGAAGGUUGUCAAGCCUUCUGACAUUUAGCCUAUUUUGAGUAUUAGCUCAGAAUUUAUGUUUAGAAGAUUGGUGCAGGUAAAAAGAUAUCUGAUGACUUUGGGGUUGACAAAAGCCACAUUGGACAGAGUGAUCAUGCAUAUAUGAAGACUUUGCCGCUAGAGGCUUUCUCCUACAAGUGUCCUCGUGCGGCCCUGAGUUCUUGCUCAUUUGAAUCCUUCUCUAACUACAAAUGUAAGUAUCAACUAGAAAAAUAGUUUAUUCUUAUGAAUUCAGUCAUUUGAAAAUUUUACAGGGAAACAAGAAAACAAAAACUCAUGCUAAAAAAGAAAAUUUUAGAGGGAAAAAAGGAAACAAAAAGAUUACUAUUUCUUGAGUUUAAGUUUAGGUUUGCUACCUAAUUUCACUUUUUUUUUUAAUUUAAUGCAGGACCUGUAUUUUUCCAGGAAGAAAACCAAUCAUUAAUGUUUUCUAUGCUUUGGAAUUGGAUACCACAAAAAAUCACAGCUUCCACUAGCCAUCCCUACCCAAUUGAAACUACCUGCAAUCCAACAUUCUUAAACUCUUUGAAGUAACAUCCUAGAUCCUACCAGUAUGUGUCAUCGAGACCUGGAUUCUGAUCUGAUCAGGCUGAAUUCAAGGCCAUUACGAAGGUUGUGAAGUUGGAUGCUGAUUCUUGGAAAGUUAAUACUGGAUUGCACUGCUAUCUCUAGGUAGAAGAAAUGCUACUUCAUGGGUUAAAGGCAGCAAUAGGGUUUGUUGGCAUAUUAGGAAUGCCAAUUUUGUAUAUAAAUCACAAGUUUUACAGUUGUCUACUCAUUCAGUUGUUUUCGACAACUCUUGGAACUGCAUGUAAAAACUUAAAACUUACUCUGCUUAAUACAAUAACUCAACUCAUAAGUCAGUUGUGGAAUGACGCAGAAAAAAUGCUUACCUAAAUUCUAACGCACAUGCCUGCAGCAACAAUGAUUUUAAAGAGCUCAUCAUUCCAAAAUUCCACCAAGCUCAAGCAGGGAAAUGAUUUCGAUUAAUCAGGUAUUCAGACAAGUGAAUCUUCCACUACAACACUAAACAAAGAAAUAAAAGUGUUCGUGACAGCAGGAGUUGAAGCAAAGCAUCAAUGGAUACUUAUCUGGUGAGCAGUAUUGAAAAUGCCAAGGGUGGGUUAGUUGCAUACAAAGCAUUUCUUAUUCUUUGCAUGAUGCUGAAAAACCAAAAGAUGCAGUUGGUUAUUUUACAUUCGAAUGAGAAUAAAAUGUAAACUAUACUGACAUGAGGCACCAAAAGUUGACAAUGUAAAGUUAAAAUAUGUUCUAUUUCUACAGCUGAAAAACAGUUGGUCCGCAUAAAAUAUUCUUUGUAUGUAUGUAACCAAAAGUAACGCAUCAACAACAAAUGUUAAAAAAACUAAUAGAUAUUAAGCUAGCACAAAAAAGAUAUUAAAAAAAUUAAUCUACAUGAAAAGGCAUAUGUGGGUACCUUUAGAGCACAAUGCUCACAGAAGUAGUGGUUGCACGUAGUAACAACAGGAUCCACAAAAGGCUGCAGGCAAAUAAAACAUGCAAAGGGCAACGAAUCAUCAUCGUCAUCAUCACUCUGGUCUACCCCUGCCUCAUCAUCAUCAUCAUCGCCACCCAAAGCCAGAUUUCUCUUCCUUGCUUUCUGUGCUUCUUCCAAGUCCUUUUCUAACAGCCAUCCAGACUUGUAGUAUCCACUAUCAUGCAUAAACUUACAUGAUUCUCCAUAACCACGGUAACCAGUUUCUUUGUAGUCUUUACAGAUGUCAGGCUGAUAAUCAAAUCUUGCUGAAACACUGAUGUGGGCAGAAGCCCUAAUAGGUCGAUGUGAGCCACCAGCUUUCUCACUGGCACCUGUUUGCUCUCUUUGAAACCCAGCCUUAUGAUCCACAUAGCCAUGCAUUCCUUUAUACAACUUCUCUUCCCCAGAGCUUGUGUUUUUCCCCUUGAAAGACUCCUCUGCUCGUUUAAGAACUUUUUCAUGUAUCGCACGAGCAUCUUUUGUAAACUCAGUCUCAGUUUCUAAGGUUGCUGUAGCUCUGCUAUCAUUUUGAACUUGAAUUUCCUUCAAAGACUUAAAUUGAAAAAUCAGUUUGUCAGAUUCUGUAUUUGAUUCAGUGGGAGCAGCACUCCCGGAGGAUCCAGUUGAAAAGCAUAACAUAUUGUCAGGCUUCAAAUCCUUUUUCUGAUUGUGCAACAGAGAUGUGCCAUUUCUGGAGUCUUCAUCUCCAUUUGUUGUCCUUUUCCUUAUGUUUUUGCCCUUUGUUGGCUUCCUAAAGAAAUUGCAGACUGAAAAAUCAAAGAGUUAGCUAUAUAAGUAAAUAUACAUAUACACCUUUAAAAAGAACAAAAAAUGGAACAAAUUUUACCUUGUUCAGAUUGUUGAGGUUCUGUUUCAAAUUGCUGAGUUCUUUUUCCUGGAUACUGGGGCUCGCUUGAAUCUGUCAUCUUAACAGAAACAAGAGCAAAGGUUUUAUAGGUUCCUUGCCUCAAGCAAGAUGAACUUCAAGUCAUUUACGACUGUUGCUUCAAUCACUUGAAAGAAGGUUUUAAACUAAGUGAGUCAAAAUCCUUAUUACAAUUAAUUAAGAUAAUGAAUGAUAGAAGAUCAACACACUAACUGGUGUCAUAACUAAAUUUCCAUAGAUAAGAUCAAGCUUUCUCUCAUGAAAGGCUAAAUGCUAAAUUUUUUACCCAAAUCAUAAAUUUCUAUUGAUGUAAGAAAGUGAAGGAAUUAAAUUUUUUAUCCUAAUCACAAAAUAUUUACGGUAAUCACCUGAACAAGAAGUCUAAAACGCAAUGCCCAAUAUAUUUACUAUCACCCAUGAUUGAAUAAUCGGAAUUGAAAUUACUGAACAAGAAGAGAUCAUCCUUUGUCAAAUAUUGCAUUCACCAUUCCAACACUUACAAAUCAAAUGAGGCUAAAAUCAUAACUGAAUACAUCCUCCAAAAAUUAAGAGAAAAAUAACAUUUUAUUGGCUGGUCAUACUGCUUGCAGAGCUCAAAAACUGCUCUGCAGAAAUGUACAAGCCUUUUUGGAUUGGAGAGAUUGAAUGAUAUUCAAAAACACAUGGUCAAUUUAAGAAGUUGACUAGAGAGCCCAUAUAUUUUGGAACAACAACAUGCUUUAAGGGCCAUAUGUAGGGAGGGAGAAAUGUCUAUAGCCUCAAUAUUUGAUCAAAACUAUUCUCUCCAUUGCACUCACUAAACCACACACACUCACACACUGAGGUUCAAGCCUACAUGGUAACAUAUGCAAUUCUAAGUUAAAACACAACCUUUGGUGAUCUACGAAAGUCCAUGCAGAUAGAAAUUCAGAUACAAUUAUUCUAAAACAGAGCAUAAGAUUAAUUUCACAAAAAUAUUUAAACUCAAAACCUGUUCCUUUGCUAUCCAAUAAUAUUUGCCAAUUCAGAUGAACAUAAAGGAGGAAAAGAAAAUAACGGCAAUAGUGGACAAACAUUGUACCUGUUUUACUGAAACAAUUGGGCAGAGAUCACCAAACUUAUAAAAAAUGUUUGAGUAAUUAAUAUCAAAAGACUCAUAUAUCAUUCCAUUCUUCAGAAUCCCAAGAGACUGGUUAUUCCUUCUAUGGAGCUGCAUUCCAUGUUUUGAAAAAAUAGUGUCCGGAACACUGUUUGUUGGAUCAUCCCUCACCACAUCUACAAAUCCCACCAUCCAAACAAUACUAAAUCAUUCAUAAAUUAUGAAAACACAGAAAGUGAUGAAUCAAAUUUCACCAAUAACAAAAUAUCAAAGCAUAUACCAUGCCAAUUUUCAAACCAAAAAACUCAACAAUAGAUUUCAAUUGCUGACACUUUCAAUCAAUUCAUCAUACUCGAAGAAAGGUGUAAUCUACCUAGACUAAUCACCUUAUAUACAUCUUCCAUUCCAAAACAUACCAAAUCAAAACACCAUAAAUUGAACUUUCUUAUCAAAUACAACUUGAACACACACAAAGGGCAAAUUUAAAAAAGAAGCAACCCAUAAAUGCAAUUAACCUUUGCCAACCCAGAUUUAAACACGAGAUAAAAUACCCAUUACUCUUAACAAUUUACUAGUCAUAGUCAAAAUGCUAUAUCUGCAAAUACUGAAAUGGCUCAGUUCAUGGAAAAGUCAAUAAAAUCAUAUAACUGCAAAGCCCAAGUUCAUAAAAGUAGCAAUUUGUUACCAUCUUUAGCAAUUCUGAUUCCACCAAGCUCUAGGACUGAGGAAGCCACUGGUUGUCUCCACUUUUUCAUAGUAGACAGAGAAGCAGCAACAGAAGAAGAAGAGAAGGGUAAGAAAAAAGUGAACCGUUUGAAACCAUUUAUGUGGUGAAAAAGGUUGGCAGUUGAAUGAGCAGUUGAAACUACUGCCAUAAAGCCUCGGUUUUCCGUUUCAGAAUGCUGGAUUCUGUGAAGAGAAGAACAAGGAUUAGUCAGUUUGGGCCUCAUUCGUUUCAAAGGCACGAUAAAAUUAAAAAUACGCUAAUUAUGUAAAAUAAAAAAAACUUUGCUCAUGGGAUGCGCGUUCGACCCCUGCAACCUAACCAUUAGUUAAUUUCAAAAUUUUAUUAAAAUAUAUAACAUAUUUUUGUUAGAGCAAAGGUCCUGCCAGCAAGGCUGAGGAAACAAAAUAAAGAAACCGAAAGCCUAUGCAAAGAAUUGAGAAAUCAAAAAUCGAUUAAAAAUUAUAAUAAAUUUUUUUAUUUGAUUCAGAUCGAAUAUUAAAUAUUUUUAUUCAAUUCAAAUGAUUUUUGAUUCAUUAAAUUAAAAAAAUUUCAAUCGAACUAAAUUAUAUUUUUAUUAAUUUUUAUACAAAUUUUAUUAUUUUAUAAAAUAAAAAUAAUUUUUAUUUUAAAAUAAAGAGAAAUCAAAUUACAUCAAAAAAAUUAUAUUUUUUAAUCAUUAAUUUCAAUUGAUACAAAAGAUGGAAUAAAUAAAUAAAUAAAUAAUUUAAUCUCAUUUUUUAAAUCAAUUAAAAUUAAUAAUUAAAAAUAUAUAUAUAAUUAAAAAAUUUUAUAGUGAUCUAAGCUAAUCAUUCCCUUUUAAAAAAUAAUAUAAAAAUAAUAAUAAAUAAAUUUUUAAAAAUCAAUAAAUUAAAUCUAAUUAAUAAAAUUCAAUUCAAAUUAAUUCAAUUUAAAAAAAUCAAUUCAAAUUUAGAUUAAUUUUUUUAAAAAAAUAAUACUAAAUAUUAAUCAAAAUAAUCAAACUGAUUUCUUAUCGGUCCAACUUGCUAGACACAAUGCUUUAAAUCGGACCAAUAAUCAAAACCUCUGGUUACUGUUUUAACCUGUUUGACUGGUUUGACCGAUGGAUCCAAUAUCAUCCAUAAUUAAUUUUUGAAGAAUUUAAAAAAAAAAAGGAAAAAUAAGGUAGAAUCAGGAAUAUUUAGAAAAAUAAAAAAAUACUGCCCUUUUAAGGCUCUGUCUCUAAUAUUUUCAUCAACGUAAAAGUAAUCUUUCGCUAAAAAAAGUUUAGUUCACACUCAACUUUUUUUUUAAGCAACUUUUGAACGGCGGAAAAGAUCCCUCUAUAAUAAGUUGUAGCGUAGCAGAGCAUACCCAUAAAAAUAUUACAAAAAUUAAUAUUAUGAAUAAUUUUAAAUUAUAAUAAAAUAUUUAAUAUUAUAUUUAAAUUUUAAAAUUUUUUAAUUUGAUAUUUAAAUUCUAAAUUUAUUAAUUAAUUUAAUUCUUAUUUUUAAUAUGAUAGUUCAAAUAUCGUAUUAAAAUUUUUUAAAAUUUAAAUAUUAUAUUAAAUAUUUUAUUAUAAUAAUCAUACAAAAUAAAAAAUGAGAUCAAUGAAAAUUAUUAAUUUUAUUUAUUAUUUUAUGUGAUUUAAUAACUUAGUUUUAUUCAUAUUGUAAUUUAAGAUGUAUUAAAAUCAUAUUAUUAAAAAGGAAUUGUAAAUGGUUCAAAACAAAAACAUGAGUACAUCACUGCUUUUGAUCUAACAAAGGAAGAAUUCUUGGAUAUCCCUACGGUGAUAGCUGAUCAUCAUCCUAUACAUGGGUAUCGAUUGUUUUUGUAUACAGUGUCGGAUGCAAAGGUUGGAGUACAAUGUUUAUAGACGCUUCAAAUAUUAAAAAAUAAAAAAUAAAAUUUGAAAGAAAUUUUUUCUAUAGACAUCUUUAAAAUUUUUUUCUAAACAUCAUUUUUACCAAUAAAAUUGAUAAAUUCAUCGAAAUAAAUUUAAUAGUAUUAAUAAUUAUUUUUGAUUGAUUGAUUAUUUAAUUAUUACAUAAUUUAUAUUUGAUAAUAUUAAUAAUAAUGUAAUUAUAAUUUUUUUUCAAAAUAUAAGAACUUUAAAUAAUUAUAAUAAUAUAAUAAUAUAUUAUUUCAAAAUUAUAUUUAUAAUUUUUUAUAUAUAUUAUAAGUAAAUACUUAAAAAAAAUCUAUUACGGUAUUGAGAGAGAAAAGGAUAUCUUUGCAUGGUGCAUAUUGCACCAACAUACGAAGUUUGGGUAAUAGAAAUAUAUGGCUAAAAAUACUCUUGAAAACAAAUCACUUUUAACCUUCAAUUAUGAUUGUAAGUUGAAACCAUUGAAUUUUCCAAAGAGUGAAGAAGCUUUUUUUUUUUUUCUAUAAAAUUAGAUCCACGUUUUGUCACGAUAUUAUUUUUUAUUUUUUAAAUUAUAUCUUAAAUGUAAGCAAAGUAAAAUUUUUAUAUCAAAUUUUCAUAGAUGAUACAAAUAGACAAAUGUAAUUGUAUUUAUUUUUCAAUAUAAAUUACAAUUUAAUUAUAUAAAUAUGGUUUUUUAUUAAAUUAUGAUAUUAAAUAAUAUUUUUAUUAAUAUAAUAAAUAUAAAUAUAAAUAUAAUAAAUAAUAAAAUAUAUUCUUUUAUAUAUCCAAAGGAGGUUCAAGACAGAAUAUAUCAAAAUUGAUUUCGACUUGAUCUAAAUUGUAUAAAGAAACAAAACUUAACUCAAUCUUUAUUUUUUAAAAAAUCAUAUCAAUUGGAUUGUAAUAAACCGAAACCUGUUAGAUAUAAGUUGUUUUGUCAUUUUUACUUCUAUGGACUCUUUUCUUUAUAAAAUUUAUCUCAUAAAAAAUUUUAAAAAAUGAAAAUGACUAAAAAAACCAAAUGGGGUGACAAAUAAAUUUAUUAAAUUAAAAUAUUAAAUAAUAUGUUUUUAAUAAAAAAUAUAUAUAAAUAUAGAAUGAAUAUAUAAUAAAAAAUAUAUUUUUUAUACACAUUCAAGCUGAAAACGUAAUAUUAUAAAUCUUAUUCUUUCUUGAGCUCGAUUUAAAAAAGAGCUCAAUCCAAUUAUCUCAAAUUAAAAGAAUAUGCACCAAUUGAGUUGGAACCAAUUGAAACCCAUCAUAUAUCGGUUAUUUUGUCACCUCUAUUUUAAUUACCUUUUUUAUUAUAAAAUUUAUCUGAUAAAAAAUUAAAAGUAAAAAAUUUUAAAAAAAGGAAAUCCCAAAAAUUGGAAGUUUUUUUUUUUUUUAAAAAAGAUAGAAAUAUCAUGUGGAUAACAAGACAGAGUAAAACACUUUAAAUCCAUUUUCAACCUAAGUCUAUUUUCAAAAAAAAAAAAAAUCUUGAUCCAAUUUUAAUUGACAUUUUUAUUAGAUCUACUAAAUUCGUAUAUUUACGUUGAACAUAUAUAAAAUACAAAAGUUAUUAUGUUACAAUUCAUAUUAAUAUAUUAAACACAAUUUAAUUUUUAGGUUUUUUUUUUUUUUAUCAAACUCAAAUGACUUUUGUUAAAAUUUUAAUUAUAUCGUUUUUGUGUCUUUUUUCUAAUUGUGUUACCAUAUCAUAUUUAACAUCAUCAUAUGUAAUUUUUUUUAACUAUUAAUAAAUAAUAAUUAAGUAUUUGUACUUAAAAAAUAAGAAAAAAAUGCAUUGUACUUAAAAUUAAUAAGUCAUCAAAUUCAUUAUUACAAGUAGGUCAAUCGGCUGGUCAGAUUUUCUUUCUUAACAGGCUGAUUAGUUUAUUCAUUGGCUGUUUCUUAACAAGUUUUUAAUCAUAAUCUCUACAAUUCAAGCAAAAUGUGAGACUAAAAAUAUUAUGUAUGGCUAAUCAUUCUAAAAAGCAAUCAUCAAAUUAGUUAAAUAGGUGUUUUGAUGAGUGAGUAAGUUGCACAUUCAACUCUUUCAUACGCGUUUAAAUCACUUUCUUAGUACUAAGUUUAAAAAAAAAAGGAAUAUUAUAGUUUUUGAAAUCAACAAAAACACGUUUUUAUUUUAAAUUAUUAACUUACUUCGAAAUAAAAGGUUUCGGCAAUAGCAAUAUAAUCUUCGUAUCUUGAUUUCACUCUUUUUGCCUACCUUAUUUCUCUUUUCAUGCUUUGUAUCUCUUAUUCUAUCUUUUUACUCUUCUCCUACUGAUCUUCAAAACCAGUGCCUUGAUGACCAAAAAACUGCUCUCCUGCAAUUGCACCAUGAUCUUUACUAUGCCCCGAAUUUUACUUUCUCUGCCAAGGUUGAGCUUUAGGAUCCCAACACUGAUUGUUGCUCUUGGAAAGGAAUUUCAUGUGAUGCUCUUGGUUAUGUGAUUGGGGUUGAUCUCAGUUACAAAAAUCUUUCAGGCUGCUUUCACUCCAUUUUCAAUCUCCAUCAUCUUCAACGUCUUAAUAUUGCUGGAAACAAUUUUAAUACCACUCUGUUUCAAUAUAAGUUUGACAGACUCAUAAAUUUAACUCAUCUCAAUCUUUCAAACUCAUGUUUCCAUGACCAAAUUUCAGUGGGGAUUUCAUACGAGACAAAGUUUGUCUCUCUUGAUCUAUCUAAUCAAGAUUCUUUCUAUCUAAGAUAUUUGCAAAUUCUUGAUCCAAACCAUCUGCCUUUUCAACUUGAACAACCUCUGAAACUAAAAAACGCAAACUUCAAGACAUUAAUACAAAUUUUGAAACAUCUUACAGAGCUCUACUUGGAUAGUGUGAACAUUUCAAGUCAAAGUACUAAAUGGUGUGAACCACAUCCAUAAUACUUCCUAACCUGCAUGUGUUAAGUCUAUCAAACUAUAGUUUGACAGGGCCAUUUUGUUCUUCAUUCUCAAAACUUCCUUUCUUUCCAGAUUUGUCCUUCGUGGGAAUUCGAUCUCUUACUUGCUUCCCAAUUUCUCGAAAAUUUCCUCUCGUUUGGUUUCUCUCAAUUUAAUGAAUUGUAAUUUGAGUGGACAUUUUCCAACAAAAGUUUUCUCAUUGCCAAAAAUACAAAGCAUUGACAUUUUAAAAAAUUACAAUCUUGAAGGUCAGUUGCCAGAAUUUCCAUUAAACAAUGCUUUACGGAUCUUAAGGAUUUUUUCUGUAAAUUUCGGUGGAAAACUACCAGAAUCAAUUAGUAGUCUCAAAUUUUUGACAAUUUUAAGUCUCCAUAAUUGCAGUUUCUUUGGACAAAUUCCAUCAUCAAUUGCAAAUCUUACAAAUCUUGUGAAAUUGAGUUUAGCAAUUAAUAAUUUUAGUGGCUUAAUCCCUCCUUUUCAUAGAUCUGGAGUUUCAAAUCUUUCGUUUCUUAAUAAUUACAUUGGAGACAAGUACUACCAGGACUCUACGACAAUUGUAAAUAAAGGGUUUGAAAUUUUUUACAAGAAAAUCUUAACCAUUUUUGCUUGUCUUGACCUUUCCAAUAAUAGUUUCCAUGGGAGAAUACCGGAAGAAAUACAAAACCUCUAGUCACUCAACGCGCUAAACUUGUCCUACAACAGCUUCCUUGGCCCAAUCUCUUUAGCACUUGGAAACUUAACUGAGCUUGAGUCGUUAGACCUCUCCCAGAACAAACUCUCCGGAAAGAUUCCUCCACAGCUUACAAGCCUAACUUACCGUGAAGUAUUGAAUCUCUCUUACAACCAACUUGAGGGAAGCUUACCACAAAGCUACAAAUCUAUACAUUUUCAAAGGAUUCUUACAAAGGGAACCCAAGAUUGUGUGCGCCACCUUUGACAAGGAAAUGCAAUGAAGUUGGUCUUGGAAUGUCACCCCCUAAGAAGACGAAGAUUCAUAGGUAGAUGGUAUAUCUGUUUGGAAAAUCGUAUUGAUUGGGUAUGAAUGUGGUUUAGUGAUUGGGUUAUCUAUUGGAUAUACAGUGCUGAAUGAAAUGGGAAACAAACGGAUUGAUAGGUUGACAUGGAACCGGAAUUGAAAAUGGAGAAAAUCUUCUAGGUGACUCUAUCAAAAUUCAAGUUUCAAAGUCAUUUGAUAAGUAUUUUAGAAUACUUAAAAACUCCAAAGUUGUUUUGUUGAUUCUUUGAGCUGUAAUUAAUUGCCUAAACAAAAAAAAAUUAUUUAAAUACCCUCUUGCAUUAUAAGUGUGAUAUAUAUACAUAUAUAUAUUAUAUCUCUACAAAAAAUGAUAUUUGACUAAAGUAAUUUCAUUUGAAAUUUAAUUAAAAAAGGUUUCAACUUUCAGCGUCUCAUUUCUUUUUUAAAUUUAGCAUUGCUUUUAAAACUAAAAACAAAAUUGCCUGCAAACUAGGAUAUGUCCUUUGAAUUUCCUAACCUCAUUUUACAAAUGACAAUCAUGAGUUUCCAAGUUAAUAAUUUGUACCAAACAUGUGGGUGACUGGUAUUUUGAGUUAGAUUAGACUGUCAAAUAUCACAUUAAAAAUUUUUAAAAUUUAAGUAUUAUAUUAAAUAUUUCAUUAUAAUUUAAAAAUUAUUUAUGACAUUAAUCUUAUUAAAAAUUACAUUUUUUGUGCAGGCCGAAUGAGAUCAAUGAAAAUUGUUAAUUUUAUUUAUUAUUUUAUGUGAUUUAAUAACUUAGUUUUAUUCAUAUUGUAAUUUAAGAUGUAUUAAAAUCAUAUUGUUAAGAAGGAAUUGUAAAUGGUUCAAACAAAAACAUGAGUGCAUCACUUCUUUUAAUCUAACAAAGGAAGAAUUCUUGGAUAUCCCCACACAAAUAGCUGAUCAUCAUCCUACACAUGGGUAUCAAUUGUUUUUGUAUACAGUGUCAGACGCAAAGGUUGGAGUAUGUUGUUCAUAGGCAUCUUAAAUAUUAAAAAAAUUUAAAAAAUUUAAAAGAAAAAUUUUUAUAAACAUUCUCAAAAAUUUUUUCUUAAUGUUAUUUCUAUCGAUAAAAUUAAUAAAUUCAUCAAAAUAAAAUUUAAUAAUAUUAAUAAUGAUUCUGAUUGAAUAAUUUUUAAUUACAUAUAUUGAAAAAAUUAUGUAUUUAAUAAUAUUAAUGAUGAUGUAAUCAUAACUUUUUUUUUUAAACGUGAGAACUUUGGAUAAUUAUAAUAAUAUAACAAUAUAUUGUUUUAAAUUUGUGUUUAUAAUUUAUAUAUAUAUAUAUAUAAAUAUAUAUUACAAGUACAUGCUUUGAAAAAAAUCCAUUUGUUGUGUACAAAGAGAGAAAAUAUCUUUGCAUGGUGCAUUUUGCACUAACAUAUGAAGUUUGGGAAAUGGAAAUAUAUGGCAGAAAGUAAUCUUGAAAAAGAAUAAGUUUAACCUUCAAUUACGAUAGUAAGUUGAAAGAAUUGAAUUUUUUAAAGAGCGAAGCUUUGUUUUUUCUAUAAAAGUUAUAUACAUUAGAAUUAGAUCUGGAUUUUUUUAUUUUUUUAAAUUAUAUUUUAAAUAUGAAAAAGUAAAAAUUUUAUAUAAAUUUUAAUGGAUGUUAACAUAUAGACAAAUUUAAGGAUAUUUAUUUUUUUAAUAUAAAUUACAACAUAUAUAAAUGUUGUUUUUUAUUAAUUUUAAGUAUUAAAUAGUAUAUUUAUUAAUAUAAUAUAUAAAUAUAAAUUUAAUAAAUAAUAAAAUAUAUUUUUUCCCAAUUAUGACUUUCUUGGUAGUUCAAUAUGUAUUGUGUAGAUAUGUUCUAGGAAUCUGUUUUAGAUAUAGAUAUUCUUGUAUAGAAUUGCCAAGAUAAUUUGCAUUAAACCCUAUUGUUAUAUAUUAAACAUACUCCAUGUGAAAACAAUAAUGCUAAGUGACAUUUUUAUUAGAUCUACCAAAUUCCUUCAUUUACGGGGAAUGCUUAUAAAACAAGAAAGUCAUCAUGUCAUAAUUCAUAUUGAUAUACUAAAUAUAAAAUUUAUUUUUUAAGUUUUUUAAUCAAAUUUAUAUGAUUUUUGUUAAAAUUUAAUUGUAUUGCUUUUAUGUUUUUUUUUCUGUGUUACUACAUCAUAUUAACAUUACCAAAUCUAAUUUUUUUAACUAUUCAUAAAUAAUAAUUAAGUAUUUGUACUUAAAAAAAUGCAUUGUACUUAAAAUUAUUAAGUCAUCAAAUUCAUUAUUACAAGUAGGUCAGUCGGCCGGCUAGAUUUUCUUUCUUAACAGGCUGAUUAGUUUAUUCUUGGCUGUUUCUCAACAAGUUUUUAAUCAUAAUCUCUACAUUUCAAGCAAAAUGUGAGACUAAAAAUGUUAUGUAUGGCUAACCAUUUCUACAAAGUAAUCAUCAAAUUAGUUAAAUAGGUGUUUUGAUGAGUGAAUAAAUUGCAUAUUCAACUCUUUCAUACAAGUUUAAAUCACCUUCUUAGUACUAAGCUAAAAAAAAAAAACGAUUAUUAUAGUUUUUGAAAUCAACAAAAACAUAUUUUUUUAGAUUAUUAACUUACUUCGAAAUAAUGAGUUCCGUCAAUAGCAAUGUAAUCUGUCGAUAAAAUACUCGAUGCUUCAAACAUUAAAAUUCCAUUUUUGACAGUUCCAACAAAAAAAUAAGGAGCUCCAUCCUUUUGCGAAAUCAAGAAACCAUGCCUUUUGGUUCAAUAGGGCAGCUGAAAUAAUGCCAUACAUCUUAAAAUAUGCUAACAUUGUUUUUCCUUUUUUUAUUAGAAUUAGAAGUACUUGAAAAAACUUUAUGAGGUUAUAUUUUAUUAUUUUUAGAAGGGUGAAAGAACUUGCUUGUUAACUUCCACGAAAUUAAACAAGAUAUGUCUAGGUAAUCAUCAGCAUCAAGUUUUGAUUAUGAUUGAUUUGGAACUUCUCUCUUGUCUCCAAUGGAAAAAUGUGUUUCUUGAUAGAUACACAAAAUAUUCCAAGAGUGCAAUUCUUGACAAUUGCUUGAUCAAUUUCCAAUAUGAAUGCCCCUAAAGUUUGAACCCAUCAUUUGUUUAAUGCUACUGUCUUUGCACCAUUUUUUAAAAUUUGUUUCUGGUUCAAAUAGCUUUCACAUACAUGCAUAAAAUCCAAAACUUCUUCUUCUUAAUAGAUUUAAUUAUAUGCUGCUACAUUGACAUUAAUGAUAAUAAAAAAAACCAAAAAAAUAGACAAAUCAGUUUGAAGAUUAUCCUCAUGUCCAUUAGUCUGCGACAUUGUUCAGGAUAUUGUUGCCGUGUGUUGGGCAGAAAAUGUGAAUAUAUUGUAAUGUAAGAAUAAACAUAUUUUAUUGAUGGACAGAAGCAGCAGCAAUGGGAAUUCUUGUCCAAUUCCAUUGACUUUCAAGGUAAUAAUGAAAGAAAUCAAAUGGUAUAUGCCAUUUGAUACCUUAGCUGAUUCUUGGGGAACUUGAGAGAUCGGAUGUAGUUUAAAUACCUUGACUGCUGAUCACACUUUUCUCACACCUAAAUCACCAUACAAACUCAGGCCUGUUUUUCCUUUUGCCUGAGCCAAGGAGCAGGAUUUGUCUUCAAAAGGUCAGGCAGUUCUGAAUCUUUAAGGAAGUAGAAUGUAUUACNNNNNNNNNNNNNNNNNNNNNNNNNNNNNNNNNNNNNNNNNNNNNNNNNNNNNNNNNNNNNNNNNNNNNNNNNNNNNNNNNNNNNNNNNNNNNNNNNNNNNNNNNNNNNNNNNNNNNNNNNNNNNNNNNNNNNNNNNNNNNNNNNNNNNNNNNNNNNNNNNNNNNNNNNNNNNNNNNNNNNNNNNNNNNNNNNNNNNNNNNNNNNNNNNNNNNNNNNNNNNNNNNNNNNNNNNNNNNNNNNNNNNNNNNNNNNNNNNNNNNNNNNNNNNNNNNNNNNNNNNNNNNNNNNNNNNNNNNNNNNNNNNNNNNNNNNNNNNNNNNNNNNNNNNNNNNNNNNNNNNNNNNNNNNNNNNNNNNNNNNNNNNNNNNNNNNNNNNNNNNNNNNNNNNNNNNNNNNNNNNNNNNNNNNNNNNNNNNNNNNNNNNNNNNNNNNNNNNNNNNNNNNNNNNNNNNNNNNNNNNNNNNNNNNNNNNNNNNNNNNNNNNNNNNNNNNNNNNNNNNNNNNNNNNNNNNNNNNNNNNNNNNNNNNNNNNNNNNNNNNNNNNNNNNNNNNNNNNNNNNNNNNNNNNNNNNNNNNNNNNNNNNNNNNNNNNNNNNNNNNNNNNNNNNNNNNNNNNNNNNNNNNNNNNNNNNNNNNNNNNNNNNNNNNNNNNNNNNNNNNNNNNNNNNNNNNNNNNNNNNNNNNNNNNNNNNNNNNNNNNNNNNNNNNNNNNNNNNNNNNNNNNNNNNNNNNNNNNNNNNNNNNNNNNNNNNNNNNNNNNNNNNNNNNNNNNNNNNNNNNNNNNNNNNNNNNNNNNNNNNNNNNNNNNNNNNNNNNNNNNNNNNNNNNNNNNNNNNNNNNNNNNNNNNNNNNNNNNNNNNNNNNNNNNNNNNNNNNNNNNNNNNNNNNNNNNNNNNNNNNNNNNNNNNNNNNNNNNNNNNNNNNNNNNNNNNNNNNNNNNNNNNNNNNNNNNNNNNNNNNNNNNNNNNNNNNNNNNNNNNNNNNNNNNNNNNNNNNNNNAUUUCUGUUUUGCUGUUUAUAAAGGACGACAUAAAGGAAGUCAAUCAAAUAAACUCAUCUAGGUCAAUACCUUGUCUAUCAUUUGGACAAUUAUAAUAUUUAUUAACUGAUAACACGUACUCCAUACAACAUUCAGUUAGUCAAAUUUACCAUAUAGGUGAACAUGUUUAUAUCUUCAGAAGAUAUUUCUGGCUAAAAAUAUUAAAUUGCAUACCUCUUCAACAAGAUCCCCAGCUAUUCCUCUUAGAACUUCACAUGAACUGUUCUCACUAAAUGAUUCAUUGAUCCAAAAACUCAUGUCUUUAUAACAGGGAGAAUACUGCAAAAACUGUGGAGGAGUCAAGUCAUGUUUCUGUAAUAGGUAUUAAAUAACAAAAGGAAUAUACAGUGGAAACAAAAGAAACCAUUUGCUUAAUUUAUACCUUUGAAAAGGGUUUAAACUUUACUCCAAUUGGCCUUCGGAAAACUGCAGUCAAGUAGCUUAAUCAGACUUGGGCGGAGAUAUUAAAUUAGGAAUCCGUGAACUUCAACAUUCAAAUCAUGAAGCUACAUUCAGAGGCUACCUGUGAGGUAAAUCGCUCAUCAGUUCAGCCAAAAAGACGAAUAUCUGGUAUGUCAAAUCAAACCAUUGCUUGCCGCUCCAAUCCAAGUCCAAAGGCCCGAGCAACACUGUUUAAUCUACCAUGACUUUUCAAUAUUUCUUGCUCCAUUACCGUGCAACCCAAAACCUCCAUCCAUUUCUCCUGACAAUUGUGUAGGUCACUGGUAAGUUAUGCUCGGUGCUAAAGUUACCACAUGCAAUAUCCAUUGAUUUAAAAAGAUUCAUAUUGAACAGCAAUCAAUAAAAAUAAAAGGGCUAACAACACAGAGUACAAACAUGUAGGUAAGGUAUUAGAAACGUCCAAAUCUUGAUUUAUCUUAAUAGAAUUUAUCAUUACAAUAAUAAGCAUAGUGUUCCCCUAAAUUUGGCUGUCAAACAAUCAUAAAAGAAUUUUUUGACAAAAUGACCAUAAGCAUUGCAAUAAAGCAAGGGAAAAAGGAAAAAAAUGAAUCAAGAUUCUUCCGACUGAAUAACUCGAUCUUAAAGAAAAUACUAACAAUAUCCUCUAAAAAGGAUAAAGAGAAUACCUUGAAAUAGAUUUCUAACUUCAUAGGACUGGUAAAUGGGAAAUAGGCAUUGAUCCAACGCAUCUCCACAGCACCUGGAAUGUUAACAGAGUGAGGCUAAUUGGCUUCCACAUAUAGCAGUCCUUACAAAGUACAUUAUCAACCCCUGAUGCUAACACAUCAUGAUUAACUUUAUAAAAUUUUGCAAGUGAUAUGAAUUUAUAGCAGCUGGUUAGAUACUUCUCCCAAUAAAAAGUUUUGCGUAAAAUACAUUUAGAUCUUUGAGUUUAAGUAUAAUUUAACUCAAGUCUAUUAAUUUGAAAAUUGGACAUCCUGCUUUUUUAUUAAUAAGACACUAAGAUCUUUCAGUCAGUUAACUCCAUUAAAAGAUUCAUUAAAAGAUCAUUUUACUUUAAAAAAUCAAUAUCCUUAAAUAUUCAUAUAAAAUAAUUAUUUAUAAUAAUAAAUUUUUAAAAAAUAUAUAAUAUAUUAAUAAUAUAUAUAUAAAAAAAGAUUUUUAGGUGCAACAUAUAAAAACAAACUUCACAAUUAUAAUAAGAAAAAAUGUUAUAAUAAGAAACUGUAACAUAUAAUAAGCAAAUACUCACAUAAAAUAAUUAUUUUUAAUAAUUUUUUUCUUAAAAUAUAAUAAUUUAUUAAUAAUAUAUAGAAAAUAAUUUUAGGUGCAAUAUAUAAGAACAAAAUUCAAAAUUAUAGUAGAAAAAAUGUUAUAAUAAGAACAUGUAACAUAUAAUAAAAAAAAUUUUGGUUGAAAAAAAUGUUAUUUAUAAUAAGCAAAUACUCACAUAAAAUAAUUAUUUAUAAUAAUAAUUUUUUCUUAAAAUAUAUAAAAUAUAUAAAAAUUUUAGUGCAAUAUAUAAAAAUAAAAUUCAAAAUUAUAAUAAGAAAAAAAUUGUUUAUAACAAGGACAUGUAACAUAUAAUAAAAAAAAUAUUUGGUUGAAAAAAAUGUUUUAUUUAUAAUUGUAAAUUUGUUUUCAUAUAUUGCUCCUAUAUAGAGCAUGUAAAUAUAAUAAGUUAAUAAUCACAUAAAAUAAUUAUUUAUAAUAAUAAUUUUCUUAACAAUAUAUAAAAUAUGUUAAUAAUAUAUAAAAAGAUUUUUACGUGCAAUAUAUAAAAAUAAAAUUCAAAAUUAUAAUAUAAAAAAUGUUAUAUUAAAAACAUGUAACAUAUAAUAAGAAAAAGUAUUUGAUUGAAAAAAAAUGUUAUUUAUGAUUGUGAAUUUUGUUUUUAUAUUUUGCACCUAAAAUUUUUUUAUAUAUCAUUAAUAUAUUUUAUAUAUUUUAAGAAAAAAUUUAAUAUUAUAAAUAAUUAUUUUAUGUGAGUCUUUUAAGAUAUUGAUUUUUAAAUGUAAAAUGAUCUUUAAUGAGCCUUUUAACUAAGCUAAACUAAUAGAAAGAUCUUAGUGUAUUAUUAAUUAAGAAGUUUUGGGACAAGAAGUCUUUUUUUCAAAAUUAAUAGAUCUAGUUAAAUUAUGCUUAAAACUCAAAAACCUAGAUGUAUUUUACCCAAAAGUUUUACCUAUUGCAACAUAGGACUGGAUGUCUUGCACAUUGGUACAUAUAUCUCCAUGGUAUCCGAAAAAAAAAUUUGCAAAUCUGUAAUGAUUUCUUGUUACAAUAAUUGCCACUUCUUGCCAAUCAAAUUAGUGCAUUCAAGAUGUUAAAUCACAAAUUGGAGCUCAAUAUGAUCUCUUAAUCCUAUAUCUCAUUCGGAUAGAAAUGCAUGAGCCAUUUGCAAAAAUUGUAAUCCCUCAACAAAGCUUUGACUCUAAAAUUGCAAAUAGGUGACAAGCCAGGCCCUCUAAGACUUUUCUUUAGUCCUAGGCUGCAAAUGGUGUGGGAUCCAGACCAGAUGUGCCUCCCAAUUAUUUGGAGUAAAAACACGAACCCCUUCCAUCUGUAUGGUAAAGGGCGUAUGUUUCAGAGGGAAAAAAAAUAAGGAACCUUAAUUUAUGAACAUGGCCAUCUUACAACAAAUGUUACAUGUCAAAUCACAGCUGUUCAUCAUGUGAACCUACGAAGGAGCCCAUUGUAAGGCCCAACAUAGGGAUGGCUGUGCUACGCAUGUAGCAUGUAAUGCAAAAUUCACAUGUACUUGGAAUAAUUUCUGAAGCGAAGAAAAAUUUUUAAAAGCUAGUCAAAUUAAAAGAGAUUUUCAACAAAAUGAAACAUGAUGAAACACAGGGUAAUGAGUAGAAUCUAUAGAAGAUCUACGGUAAACAUCGCCAGUUACAAGGAAAUGAGUGUAUCCUCUUCCCAACAGCUCUGCUUGAUGAGCAGUAUGACACCUCAAUAUAAUUUGAGAGUCAACAUAGUAUGUAUCAUUAUAGCUCCUGCUUACGUGAUCAGCAUGCACCAGGACGUCCAUCAAAAUUCUGCAAAAGGAAAUAAAUAUAUUCUCAAAUCAUUAUCCAAGGAUCCAAAAUAAAUAAUAUGAUACAACAUAUAUUGUGUAUAAAAGGUUUCUUCAUUUUGCAAAUUAUUUCAUCAAACAGGUGACAACAGGUUUCUUCCUUUCAGAGGAGCACAAAUUAAAAACGAGGCAUAACUUUCUUACUUGUAAUCCAAUUAUGAGCAUAUAAAAUUGGACACAAAUGGAGGUCCAGAAUCGGUCAAUUACAAUUUUGAACAAUUCUAAUGAGUACAUGAGCUUAGAAAGGCAUGAAAAAAUUUCUUGAAACUGUUAACUUCAAUUUUAAGGAAAUCAAACUUGACUAUAAGUAUCCAAAUUAAUACAUCCUUGAAAACUUACGGGCAAAAAAAGACCCUAUUGGCUGGUCAUACUGCUUGCAUAGCUCCAAAAACAGCUCUGUGGAAAUAUAAAAGCCUUUUUAGAUUGGAGAGAUGGAAUGAUAUUCAAAAUCACAUGGUCAAAUUAAAAAGGUGACUAGAGACCGUGUAUUGUGGAACAACAACAUGCUUUAAUGGGCCAUAUGUACGGGAGAAGCAAUGUCCAUAAACUCAAUAUUUUAGCAAAACUAUUGUUUUCCCUUGCACUCACUAACACACACACAAGCCACACACAUGGGUUCAAGCCUACAUGGUAACAUAUGUAAUCCUAAGUUAAAACACAUACCUUUGGGGAUCUACAAAAGCCCAUACAGAUACAAAUUUCAGAGACUUUUUUUUUUAUUAUUUUUAAAGAUCCUCGACCAAUUAUUCCAAAACAGAGCAUAAGAUUGAUCGUACAGGAAUAUUUUAAACUCAAAUACUAUUUUGGAGGAUGAAAUACAGAGGUGGUGCUGAUGUUAAUAACAAUGGACAUUGAAGAUUGAACACUGUCAAACAACAUAGAGGAGGAAAUAUAGCGGCUUUUUUUGUUUUUUUUCUUCACAGCCUAUUUCAGGUUUCAGGGUUGGUUUUAUUUGUUGAUUUCAUUCUUUUAAAUAUAUUUUUUUUUAAAUAUUUUUUUAAAUAUUUUUUUAAGCACAGUAUUUUUUUCUUUUAAAUAUUUUUUCUAUGAUCCUUGUUAUACUUUCACUGUGUAGAAAGAUUCUAUUCUUAGCUAAGCAUAACUCUUUUUUUUUUUUCAAUUAUUUGUGUUUUUUUAGGCUUUAUCAUGUGUUGGGUCUUUUCUGUUUUACCCAUAUUUCAUUUAAUUUUAUGAUUUGAAUCGAACAACUAUGUGAAUAGGAAUAUUGAGUUAUGCCAAGCAGUACUUUCUCUGACUAUUACUAUACAUAAUUGUCAAUUUGUCAUUCAAUUGCUAGCUGUUGAAUUUGCUGCAAAAGAAUGGUUAUUGCAGUUGGAAUCUCUUGUUAUUAUAGGGAAGAAUGUGAGGGUUGAAAAGGGAAAGAAAAAUGAAAUGAAAUGAAUAGUUGGGUGGAAAGUGUUACCUUUUAUGGAGUUCUAGCUUGCAAUCAUCAUUUGUUUAAUUGUACAUUUUGCAUUUUCCAACAAUUGAAUGGAGCAAGUUUUUCGGAUUUCCAUUUCAUUGCUUUUCAAGUACUUGGUUCUAGAUAAGUUUCGUCCGUGUUUCCGGUUCCCAAAAUGAUUUAACAUAUAUGACAUAACAGGUUCUUCUUGCAAAUUGGGACUUGGAAUGUUUUAUGUGAAAAGGUGGUUAUAAUCUGAUCUUUUCUUUGUUGCAUCCAUAUUCUGCAAAGAUCUUUUGCCCUGUCUCUUUGUUCACUUCCUGGGUCUCAGUAUUUUGUUGGUUUGCUUAUGGUAGAGUUUGAUCUCGUGCUUUUCCAUUUUCACUUGGCCCCCACUAUUCCUCCCCUUCCUCUCUAGCUUUUGAAAAUUGCAUUUAGAGCCUUGGUUGUUGUAGUAGAUCACAAGCAUACUUUAACAUUAUGUUCAAGCUGUUUUAAUUGUAAGGUUCAAAUUUCUAGUGUUAAAGUUUGAUUAAGUUUUGAUUUCUUAUAUAAGCCUUGUUUUAAAACCCCCCCCCCUUUUUUUAGAGGGAGAGGGGGUCCGGAGAAAUAAAAAUAGCCCUUAUAUUAGUGCGUACAAAUGUAUGUAUGUAUACGGUAUAUAUAAACAUUGGUAUAAAAAAUAUGUUUAUAUACAAUGUUUGUAUAAAAAUUGUGUAAUCCCAAAAUAAAAUAUAAAUUUCAAACACUGUACAUACAUAAAUUCUAAAAAAUUCAAAAAAUUAAAUUCAAUAAAUAAAAUAUAACUUAAUGACCAGAAAUAGAAAAAACUAAAAAGGUAACUACCGAGACAUAAAAUUGCUUGUGCACAAUUAAUUGCAUUAGCGAACCAUAUGAAGUUCUUGGUUAUUUUGCCUUAUUUAGUAUUUGUUUGAAUUGGGUUUUUGCUAUUUGCUUUUUUGCUUCCGAAAGCAAAAAAGCAAAAAAUAGCAUUUCCAUAAGCAAUAAAAUUUUGAAGAGUUAUACACAAAAUAUUUAAAUUUUUUAUUGAUUAACUACAUGAUUCUACUUCUAUAUAUACUAAAUUGUGUUAUAAUUGAUUUUAUACUUUAAUUAUUUUUUCUGUUUUAGAUCAGUUAUGACAUAUAUAAUAUUUUACCUUUUGCUUUUCCUUUCCAGUAAAAUAUAUAUGUUUUAUUCAUGUUCGUAGGGAACUACCAGACUUCUUUGGCCAUGUUCUAGAAAUGCCAGUCAUCUAACGAGUUUGCUUUGAAUAUGGCAGCUAACAACAUCAGUGAAUCUUAGGUUUGUUGAUGCAAAUCAUGGCUAACAGAUUCACUUGAAGCCUACUUAUCUAAAGAUUUUUUCGAUUUUUUAGAGGAUGAAAUGCAAAGGUGGUGCUGAUGUUAAUAAUGUUGGACAUUGAACACUGUCAAACAACAUAGAGGUGGAAAUAUACCGACUUUUACAGGUUUCAGGGUUGGUUUUAUUUGUUGACUUCAUUCUACU